rnacentral:lncRNA from 1 species
AAGAAUGCAAGAACCGUCCAAUUUGAACUCGAAUUAAGUGAAUUGACGGUCAUGCCAAUAGGAUGAGAGCUAACACUUACUUAUUUUGCGACGUUGUAAGUGACAACUCACACCUAGAGAUGCAAGACUUGGUGUGGUUCAACAUAACAAGAGACAUUUGCCUAGUAGUCCUGGUAGAUGUUUCACAACAUGUCCAAGAUCGAGUAACACCAACCGUAGAAAUUUCACAUCACUACAUGAACCAUAAUGAGCAAUUUUAAGCAUUACACAAGUUUAAUAAUUAAGAUUAUAAGUUCAUAACAUAAAUGGGUCGAAUAUGAAAUUUAAACAAAUGAGCUCCAAAAUACAAGUUUUAGACUCAUGACAACAAAACAUGAGAUUAAAUAUUAAGGUUCAAGUUUUCCAACAUCUAACUCAUGAAAAGAGCUUAUCUACGUAGCGGAUACAAUAUAUAAACGCAAAAGGAAUGAUGGUGUCGUUGCCCAAGAACACCACCGAAGUAAAAAUGACCGCUCUAGUCACUCAUCACCCACCCUCGGAUCGUGGGGUAAAUGUGACAAAAACAACCUCUGGUUCACCUGCAACUUAGUGAGUAGCAACAUGAGUAAAAAAGGUACUCAUAAGACUUACACAAAUAUAUAUAACAAAAGCAUGCAUAGGGAUGAACAAGGAGUAAAACAAGAAGCAGCACAGGGAUGAACAAGGAGUAAGGUUUUAAGGUUAAUUAAAUUUUGCGAAAGCCUAGCUCAUCCUAUCCUUCAUUUUUUACCAUAAGCAUGCGAAUAUCACCCUAUGGACAGCUAGCAAAUUUUAUUGAUCUUGCCCAAAAUCCACUUCAAAAUUUAGUUAAAACAAUUACAUCAACAUGGUAACAUAGAGUAUUUUCAUGUGAACAAGUAACAUAAGCAUCCGAUAACUCUAUGAUGAAUUCAUUGGACUUGAGCUUGCUCAUAACUGAGAACGUGACAAUUCAAAUUGAUUUAUCCUUGCAAGGGUGUACUAUUUACCCAACGACUCGAGGAUCUUGUGGCUCGCACACCUGACCAAUGGUGCAAAGGGGGUACUCAUGCCAACCCUUUCCAAACCGCCCCGAACGAUGAGUGUAACACCUCUAGCUUGUGUAGAGGACGACCUAGAUCCACUGGGACACCCUAGGCUCCUCUACAUAGUUCGAGGACUACACAUCUAGGGUCGAGCCUCAUAGAGCGAGAUAAGUAAGGUAUUAGGCCUAUCCAUCCCAUUCGAGGAUAUGUGGUAGCGCAAAAAAGAUGCUCAAACCAACAUCAACAACGGACGGUUCUUAAUCGACUCAAGCGGUUUAUGUCACCGACACUCCAUUCUCGUGACCCUACGCACCGCUCAAAUCUCAUAUCCAAUUAACCAUGUUCAUAUACUCAACAACAUUAGAGAACCAAACUAGUAUCGGUGUUGAUUAGCCUAUAACCAU